GAUGAUAGAGGAAGUAUCUGCCAGGCUGGUAUUUCCCAGAGUAGACCGGGGACAGGGCAGGGGGUAAUUUCAGAAAACUUGUGUUAAGCCUUAGAACUCUUUUUUCUAAAGUCUGGAGUAUCCAUGGAAAGCAGAGAUUUCUUAAAGAAUGUUCUGGAAAGAAUGCAGCUUAGCCAAACUCCCAAACUUGCUGAAGCUACUGCCUGCCAGCCACAGGGUAUUCAUCUCUUAGUGAGCUGACAUAGUGGUUGCCGAGGGACAGUCUGAUGUGACUUUCACAGGGCCCCUGCAAGAUCUUGAAGCUUCACUGGAUAUUUAGACGAGGCCUUUGUGACAUGCAUCAGUGACAUGUGGUAUCUGCUUUUUGCCAAAGAAGAGGCUGGAUUAACGUUAAUCUGUGUCCUGCAUACUUGUUGACAGACUUUUAUCUGACCUGUGUGCCGGGCUGUCACUGUUUCGGGGGAGUGGAGAUGGAGCUAGGACAUGCUCCUUUUGAGACUGAUCCUCUGCUAGUGUGUCUCUAAAGAUUGUGCUUGAGCAAUUUUGAUACUUUGUUUACACUCAAAGUAGAUUCUCAAAGCAGUCAUUUUACAUGCAGUUAUUAAUUCAAGUUCCAAAGAAUAAUAACAGGAAAUGUAUUUCUGACUACUCAGGAGUGACUCAUUAUGGGACUAUUUGAAACUAUGUAUUUCUUUUUAUCAGAAAGCACCACUGCCUAUAAUCAAUGUUAUCUCUUCAAAUCCAAGGGAUCCUAAAAUCUGGCCCCGACUUCCCUUCAAAACAACAGACAGCAAAUCUGGGGAAGAGAAAAGCCAUUAUCCACUGCACACGGAUCAUGGCACACCUUCCUCUGCAAAACAAGACAGACAAGAUGGACAUUUCCGUUCCAUCCCUCCUCGGGAGGCACCAGGAUCAGCAGAGGGUCUGUAAUCAGAAGACCCUGGUGCGGUUUCACUGUGUACCGUAAAACAGGAAGAGAGGGGAGAGCUGCAGACAACCGUCAUGGAGGGCUUUGUGAAGAGAAAAGCUUCGAGUAUUUCAGCCUUAACAAAGAAGCGCUAAGGGCCCCGUGGUCAUUUCUCAAUGAGUGUUCCCAAAUAGAAGGUAUCUAGUUCAGGAUCCGCUUUUCAUUAGCAUCCUCAAGGUGAGGCAGGAAAGUUGAACGCUCUACCGGGCCAGCCAGUUCUCACGGUAUUCAGCUCGAGACCACUAUCAUCCCCAAAUAGUCACGUCUGAAAGUUUUGUGAUAGUUCUUCUGUCCUAGAGCAGGGGUCUAGCUGCAGCGGAUCCAGCGCAGGCGGCUCUCAGGGCUUGUUGUGUCGGAGGGAAGUGGUCUUUAUCUGUCUUUUUCCCCUCAAACACUGCCCGGGUUUGCCUUUUCCUGAGAUAGCAGUUUGCUCCAAGAACUGGAACUCAGCUCUUCCUGUUGGUGAGACAAUGGUUUUUAUGGGAAGCUAGAAUGUGUCUGGAUGCAGGAUUCCAAUGGCAAAGAAGGGUGCAUGCCUUGUAGACCGGGGGUUGGGGAGUGGGAGAAGGCAGUUAUGGAAGUACAUGGGGUGAGCUAGGGCUAAAGUGUCCCUGCCAGCUGGCUGAUGCUGGGCGUCUGUUUAAAGCCUGAACAGGUGGACUUGGAAGCAUCUGCUGGGGAAGCAGCCACCGGUUUUCAACAUCAGCCUUAGAAAAAUGAGGCGUCUCUUUUGGGCUAUGCCAUUCAUGACUGAUCCCUAAACCUCAGGGCCUGUUAGCAGUGCAACAAUCCUUGCCGCAAACCAUUGGCUUACAGUCUGUGCUAGGAUUCUUAUUCCAGUGCUGGUCUAGACUAAGAGCGAGAGAGGAAGAUUUCGGUUCCGUGUGGGGACGGGAAAUGAGGUGGAAGAAGCCCUUGAACCCUGCUCCUGAGUGAAAGACCGCAGGAGCGUCAGCCAGAGCGGGCAGGGGGAAGCGGGGAAGGGUGAACUCUGUCUCCACAGGAAAGGAGAAAUGCAGCUCUUACCCUGCCUCUACCUCAGGAAUCUUGGUGAUUGGCCCAGACCAAGAGUUCCGGCAGUGAACAUCCCCAGGAUUUGUGUUCUGCGUCAGAUCUCAGUGCUGUGGUUUACGUGCUCGACCCCCUGACGUUCUUGCUCCCGUUGUGGCAGGGAGCCUGGAUAGUUCUGCGCUCCGAGGCAGGUGCCCUGCCGCCACACAAAUGCUCCUGGAGGCACAGCUUCUGGGAAAGAUAUUUUAGAAGUCUCCUGUGGCUGCGACAAAUUGCUCAGGUCUUUGCCACAGCAAGACUGUGCCCUGCCUUUAUCCACCUUGGCACAGCGGCUUCUGAAACCAGCAAAGGUCCCAUGUCCCUAUAGGCUCUGCUUCAUGGGGGUCAGAGGGGAGGACCAAUCAAGUGUCCCUGUCUGUGGAGACAUGGUGUGAUGGAGAAUGAGGUAGACACUGAUGAAGUUUAGGAACUGAGGAAGUCUGUGUCUUUAGGCAGAGGCUGGGGAUACGAAAGGUCACUUAAUUCCUGCCUUUUCUAACCACUGCGGUGAAACCAUAGCAAGGUGGUGACGUGCUCUGAAUGGUGUUCUUGACCCUGAAACCCGAUGAUAGGAGCUUCUGGAGGACCCUGAGACCCUCAGCCCACUCCUCGGAGCAGAGACACCGGUCGGCAUGGCUUCCCCUUCCUUCGACUUCACUGGAACUCUGCUCUUCCCUGUCUGACUUUUUUUUACAAAUACAUUUCUGAAUUUAAUAGUUUCUUUCUGGUAAUUGGAAGGAAGACAAACCUUGACUAUCUGGCUUUUGAAGUUUGAAGGCUCCGUUUUAUAACGUCUAACUAUUCUACAAGACCAAACUGUUUCCUCGAAUGAAGUCUUUGGGGGACUUGCUUCAACCAACAGGCCAGUGAAUAAUUAGCACAUUAGUUAUUUGAUAGCAAAUUGAUUCUCUUAGGACAUAAAUAUAAUUAAAAGCAGUUUGUUCGAGUGUCUGCUGUUUAACUGCUGCCCGUUGCAUUCUGGGGUUUUCCCCUAGCUUGCCAAGUAAGCCCAGACUUCUGUUAGCUAACAAGCUAACCUCUGGCCAGUCCUACUUCUUCUAAAUAUUUUCUCAUAAAAUGGGCUCAGCAACUCAAGGCAUUUUUCGGUUUUGUUUGUUUUUGUUUUUUCCUUCAAGCGAUCAAGGACUUUUAUCACUGCUGUGGAAAGUCACCUGUGAACUUCCUCUAAUAUAGGCUUUGGCACCCAGGGGCCUCCUAGGAUGUCAUACUCACCUUGUUCCCAGACCAUAAAGAGAUAUAUUUUUGUUUCCCAUCCUAAACACCAUGUAACUCACUCCUCACUGUUCCACGGAGGUUAUGGUAAUACGGGGGGAGCGCGGUCGGUCUCUGGGAUAAAGCGCCUUGUAAAACAACCAUGGGGGAUUCCAAAUCUUACUUAAUCAACCUCUCUCCAGAUCCAUAGACCAAUA